GACAUUCUGAAGUCCUGCCAGCCCAUGGCCCUUCACAGCCUGACCCUGCUUCCUUCCCAGUAGGAAGCCAUACUUGGGAGAAGAAAGCAGGAGACAGAAAGGUGGCUGGCCCAGAUUGAAGAAAGAGAGAGCACUGCAGUGAAUCACAUCAAAGGCGAGCCAGCGUGGGAUCAGGGAAACCUGUGCAGGAUUGACAAAACAGCAUUUUAAACAGAGGAAAUUUAACAGAAGGAAUUGGUAAUAAACAUGUAAGAAAGACUGAAGAAACAAAAAAGGGUAAGA
rnacentral:lncRNA from 1 species